CAUUUUCUGAAAGGUUAACGAAUUUAAUCUCUAAUUUCGAAAGGCUUGCGAAUUUAAUCUCUUUUUUCAAAAUUUCUCUACAUAAAACAGCCGCAUUCCAUUCGAUCCAAAAUUGAAGUAGCUAAAUAGAAGCCUGUUUCACUAUUUCACGAUAACAUAUUCCGUUGACACUGACGAAAAGAAGCUCAGUUUGUUACAGGGAGCAUAAACUAGAGUUAUUCAUUCUGAGAUGUCGGGCAUUCCAGGAUUUCGUUCUCUUACAACAAAGAGCAAGAAUGCUGUUGUUGCUGGAGGGUUGACGUCAUUUGUCUUUGGUGUGUAUUUCUACACAAUGAGAGCAGUUGGUGGUACAGAUGAACUUCAAGUAGCUAUUGACAAGUUUGAACAUCUGAAGCACAGAAAUGAGCAAGAAGCUACCUUGACACCCAAGGCUUAGUUAUACGCUAGUAUUUUUAUCAACGGAAGCUACCUUCCGGCAGCCCUUUUUAUAUCCCUAGACUUGUUAUGGUUUCUUGAUAUUUAAAUAAACUCUAAAUUUACAAGUUGUCUGUUUCACUUGACUAACAUUCUACUCUCUAGUUUUCUCAUUCUAGUCAAUUACUUAUGGCUGCCUUAA